ACGCUCGACACCUACGGAGGCAGCAGUGGGGAAUAUUGCACAAUGGGGGAAACCCUGAUGCAGCGACGCCGCGUGAGCGAAGAAGUAUUUCGGUAUGUAAAGCUCUAUCAGCAGGGAAGAAGAAAGACGGUACCUGACUAAGAAGCCCCGGCUAACUACGUGCCAGCAGCCGUGUAAUCUGAGCGGGCUGGCAAGGC
rnacentral:rRNA from 1 species